rnacentral:rRNA from 1 species
CCUACGGGAGGCAGCAGUGAGGAAUAUUGGUCAAUGGACAAGAGUCUGAACCAGCCAAGUCGCGUGAAGGAUGACUGCCCUAUGGGUUGUAAACUUCUUUUAUAUGGGAAUAAAAUGUUCCACGUGUGGGAUUUUGUAUGUAUCAUAUGAAUAAGAAUCGGCUACCUACGUGCCAGCAGCAGCGGUAAUACGGAGGAUCCGAGCGUUGUACGGGUUUAUUGGGUUUAAAGGGAGCGUAGGUGGAUGGUUAAGUCAGUUGUGAAAGUGUGCGGCUCAACCGUAAAAUUGCAGUUGAAACUGGCAGUCUUGAGUACAGUAGAGGUGGGCGGAAGUCGUGGUGUAGCGGUGAAAUGCUUAGAUAUCACGAAGAACUCCGAUUGCGAAGGCAGCUCACUGGACUGCAACUGACACUGAGGCUCGAAAGUGUGGGUAUCAAACAGGAUUAGAUACCCCUGUAGUC